UGGGGAAUUGUUCGCAAUGGGCGAAAGCCUGACCCAGCAACGCCGCGUGAAGGAUGAAGUAUUUCGGUAUGUAAACUUCGAAAGAAUAGGAAGAAUAAAUGACGGUACUAUUUAUAAGGUCCGGCUAACUACGUGCCAGCAGCCGCGGUAAUACGUAGGGACCAAGCGUUGUUCGGAUUUACUGGGCGUAAAGGGCGCGUAGGCGGCAAUUCAAGUCAUCUGUGAAAUCUCCGGGGCUUAACUCGGAACGGUCAGAUGAUACUGCUUUGCUAGAGUGCAGAAGGGGCAAUCGGAAUUCUUGGUGUAGCGGUGAAAUGCGUAGAUAUCAAGAGGAACACCUGAGGUGAAGACGGGUUGCUGGGCUGACACUGACGCUGAGGCGCGAAAGCCAGGGGAGCAAACGGGAUUAGAUACCCCUGUAGUCCCUGAGCGGGCUGGCAAGGCGCAU
rnacentral:rRNA from 1 species